CGGAGAGGGCGCAUGAGAAACGGCUACCACUUCUAAGGAAGGCAGCAGGCGCGCAAAUUACCCAAUCCUGACUCAGGGAGGUAGUGACAAGAAAUAACAAUAAACCGGCUUAUGCCGGUUUAAUUGGAAUGAGUACAAUUUAAACAUCUUAACGAGGAACAAUUGGAGGGCAAGUCUGGUGCCAGCAGCCGCGGUAAUUCCAGCUCCAAUAGCGUAUACUAAAGUUGUUGCAGUUAAAAAGCUCGUAGUUGGAUUUCUGCGGGGACGGAGCGGCCGGACGCAACUUGCGUCUCGAGCUAGCGCUUUCCCCGCAUCCUGCCGCGAACCGUGCUACCAUUAGUUUGGUGGCGCUGGGGAUCGGCUCGAUUACUUUGAGAAAAAUAGAGUGUUCAAAGCAGGCCACACGCCUUGAAUAAGUUAGCAUGGAAUAAUGACUAAGGACUUCGGUUCUACUUUGUUGGUGUUCGGGACUGAAGUAAUGAUUGAUAGGGACAGUUGGGGCGGUCUGUAUUCCAAAGCGAGAGGUGAAAUUCUUAGACCUUCGGAAGACAAACAGCUGCGAAAGCGUUCCGCAAGGAUGUUCCCUUUGAUCAAGAACGAAAGUUGGGGGAUCGAAGACGAUCAGAUACCGUCGUAGUCUCAACUAUAAACUAUACCAGCUAGGGAUCGGUCAACGUUUAAUUAUUCGACUUGAUCGGCACCUUAUGAGAAAUCAAAGCAUCUGGGUUCCGGGGGGAGUAUGGUCGCAAGGCUGAAACUUAAAGGAAUUGACGGAAGGGCACCACCAGCCGUGGAGCCUGUGGCUUAAUUUGACUCAACACGGGAAAACUUACCAGGUCCAGACAUAGUAAGGAUUGACAGAUUGAUAGCUCUUUCUUGAUUCUGUGGGUGGUGGUGCAUGGCCGUUCUUAGUUGGUGGAGUGAUUUGUCUGGUUAAUUCCGUUAACGAACGAGACCCCAGCCUGCUAAAUAGCGCGGCUGAGCUUUGCUCGGUGCGAGCUUCUUAGAGGGACUAUGAUGCGCGAUAGCACAUGGAAGUUUGGGGCAAUAACAGGUCUGUGAUGCCCUUAGAUGUUCUGGGCCGCACACGGGCUACACUGGCGCCUGCAACGAGCAUAUCAGCUGGCCCGAGAGGGUCUUGGCUAAUCUUUUGAACCGGCGCCGUGCUUGGGAUUGACCUUUGCAAUUGUUGGUCAUGCAACGAGGAAUGCCUUGUAAACGCGAGUCAUCAGCUCGCAUUGAAUACGUCCCUGCCCUUUGCACACACCGCCCGUCGCUCCUACCGAUGAAUGUUCCGAUGAAAUUUUCGGAGAGCGCCAGAGAACGGGGCUCUGCCUUGCAGAUCUGGGGGCUCAAAGUCACUUAAAUCUGAACAUUUCGAGGAAGGAGAAGUCGUAACAAGGUAACC
rnacentral:rRNA from 1 species